UGGGUGAUCUGCCCUGCACUUUGGGAUAAGCCUGGGAAACUGGGUCUAAUACCGAAUACACCUUGCUGGCUGCAUGGCCUGGUGGGGGAAAGCUUUUGCGGUGUGGGAUGGGCCCGCGGCCUAUCAGCUUGUUGGUGGGGUGAUGGCCUACCAAGGCGACGACGGGUAGCCGGCCUGAGAGGGUGUCCGGCCACACUGGGACUGAGAUACGGCUCAGACUCCGUACGGGAGGNA
rnacentral:rRNA from 1 species